GAUGAACGCUGGCGGCGUGCCUAAUACAUGCAAGUCGAGCGAACAGACGAGGAGCUUGCUCCUCUGACGUUAGCGGCGGACGGGUGAGUAACACGUGGAUAACCUACCUAUAAGACUGGGAUAACUUCGGGAAACCGGAGCUAAUACCGGAUAAUAUAUUGAACCGCAUGGUUCAAUAGUGAAAGACGGUUUUGCUGUCACUUAUAGAUGGAUCCGCGCCGCAUUAGCUAGUUGGUAAGGUAACGGCUUACCAAGGCGACGAUGCGUAGCCGACCUGAGAGGGGGAUCGGCCACACUGGAACUGAGACACGGCCCAGACCCCUACGGGAGGCAGCAGGAGGGAAUCUUCCGCAAUGGGCGAAAGCCUGACGGAGCAACGCCGCGGGAGGGAUGAAGGUCUUCGGAUCGUAAAACUCUGUUAUUAGGGAAGAACAAAUGUGAAAGUAACUAUGCCCGUCUUGACGGUACCUAAGCAGAAAGCCCCGGCUAACUACGU
rnacentral:rRNA from 1 species